CUCUAAAACCAAGUCAUGUUUCUAAGAAGGGCUGUGGUCAAGUCUGAACGUUGAUUACCGUCGAUCCUCGCAAUGAUAUCUAUGUACCGUCGGACAGAGACGCCGUGGGUAGGCCUACUGCUGUUCAUGUACAUUACUUGUGGUAAGACAGCAGCUCCAGAUACAUUCACUGUGUCGGGCCCUGAUAAGCCUCUGUCUGUCUGGAAGGGAUCCUCAGUCAUCCUGCCAUGUUCAGUUUCUCCUGCCUUUACGGACUCGCUAGAGGUGCGCUGGCACCGGCCUGAGAAGUUUAAAAGUCCAGUUCUCCUUUAUGAGAAGCAACAGACCCAGGAGCAGUCUGCUGACCCCCAGUACAGGGGUAGAGUGUCACUCACUGGAGAGAUUGGGAAGGGGAACGUCUCCCUGAAACUGGAGAACGUUACAUCCGCAGACGCUGGGGAAUAUAUCUGCUUUGUCGCUGGGAAGACAUAUGACCAGGUCAGGAUUCACCUAACUGUGAAAGCCAUGGGUAGCCCUCCAGUGCUUUCCAUCACAGAUGGAGGCGCUGGUCAGGUGAAUGUUUCCUGUGUGUCAGACGGCUGGUGGCCCAAGCCCACACUCACUUGGAAACAAGGACUCACUCAGAUAAGGCAGAGCUUCCAAGCUACAGAAGGUUCACAAGACCAUGUGAUGGUGGCUUCCCAGAUUCUCCUCUCACCAUCUAAAACUGAGUGGCUUUCAUGCUCCGUGGGCCUGUCUGAAGAAGAAGGAAGAGAGAGCAGGAUCUUUCCAUACAUCCCAGCGACUGGCACGGAUGUCUGGAAAAUUCUUUUUGUUAUUGUAUUCGUUCUAUUCCUGCUUGCUCUUGUGGGGAUAGGUUUGCUGUACAUGAAAGUAUCCCAGCUGAGUAAGACACAGAGUAAGGGAGAGAAUGAGGUGGAGGAGCCUUUGAAAGAUGAAGAGGUGCCUUUGAAAUGUCCGAAGGAAGACGAUCCUAGGCUUGAUCCUCCCGGUGACACAGAAAAAUUUGCAAUUGGUGGAGAGGCUGUGUUAUCUUUCAACCUCGUCCCUAAAACCAGUGCCGCUCCCAUGGAGAUCAGGUGGUUUAAAGAUACAGAGUGCAUUUUCUUGUAUAAGAAUGGCGGUGGAGAUGGGCGAGGGAGCUUUAAGGACAGAGCCAAUCUAUGCUGGGACGAACUGGAAAAUGGCAUCAUAUCUCUGAAACUGGAAAACAUUCAGAAAGAAGACGCGGCUGCACGCUAUGUGUGUCAAGUAGUCAGACAUACAUGCCUUGAAAAUGCCCUUUGUGUAAGAUACAGUGACUAUACAAAAGAGUUUGCAGUCUAUCAAACCGAUUGCAACAUUGAUGAAGACACAAGGAUCGCAAUGGAGGACUCUUCCAGGAGUGAUCGGCCUUGGUCAGAAUAAUGCAUGCAUCACUAGCCUGCCUUGAAUCACACAAGUUUUGGUUUUCCCAAUGUCCAUUGAAAGCUGUGCGGAUGGAGGAUAUGUUGCUGUUUAUGCAUUUACAUUUACACCCAAGUUAACACCUUUGCAUAUUCAAAUUUCUAUUAUUACGACAACACAGUUGAAACUACAACAUAUAAACACAUGUAAUGUAAAACAAAACCUAUACAGUGACAAUGUCAACACGUAAAGGAAAACACAAGUUACUGUUCAUGAUUUGAAAUUAUAGUUUGUUACUGUAUGGGAAGCGAUCAAAUUUUAAUCACAUUUUAAUCAGUUUUAAUCACAUGUAUCAACUCCAUAGGCUGAUGUGUCAGUCAGACAUUAGGCAUUUUGUAUGUACAUGGCUUGUGUUUUGGUUGGUGUGCAUGUGGGUCUGUGGACCCUUGAUUACAUACAAGUUCUAUUGUUUUUGUGACAUUCACAAACAAACAGAUUCUUUUGAAUGUUUUCUAGACGUGAACGAUGGGAAUCGUCUCACAGCUAGGGAGCCACUGUUUUUGUUUUUGUUGUUGUUUAUUUUUUUAGGAACGCUCGACCUUCACAUGAGUAGUGUGUUUACAAAAAGACACAAGUGCCCCUGUCUUUAGAAGGAGGAGGACAGUCAGUCAUCGUUCAGACAAAAUGAGCCAAGGACAGCUUCUGAAAUGCUAUCUACUUCACACUGGAUUCAUUAAAAAAAGAACCAAAUGAGCCAGUGUUUUGAAUGGCUCUUUGAAAGGAAUGAGCCAAUUAAGAUCCAAAUUACGUCAAAGAGUCAUAAAGCCCAUAUUUUAUAAGUUAUUAUAAAGUUAUUAUCUCAAUGUGAUCGCAGUCAUGAUUGGGGAUGGACCAGUACAAUUAGGAGUGAGUGAGAUGUAUUGAUUCACUUCCUCUCUUGGUGUGACGAAACAGAAGAGGAUAUAUAUAGGGUAUAUUAUAGGGCUGUACGAUAUCAGAAAAAAAACGAUACUCGAUAACAGCAUGCAAUACCUCGAUAACGAUAUUUAAACGAUAUUUAGAAAUAUAACCGAGUGUUUUUCUGGUCACUAAUUUGUCUCUCUGUGUGCGGGGCAUGGGUUUGGUCAUGACGAGCUUGCGCAUUGAUUAGCUAUUGAGCUAUUGAUUGGACUGCACAGAAAUGUUUGUCUUGUUAGCGAUAAUUAAGUCAUUUUUGCGAUACGCAUAUCGCCACUCUUGAUGUCGCGAUUUCGAUACAUUUUCGAUAUAUUGUGCAGCCCUAGUAUAUUAUGUAAAAUAGGUCAAUCAUUACAGUGCUGAAGGGCACAGUGUCAGCCUGCAGUACAAGAAAAAAUAUACUUAAUUGCAGUACAGAAUAUGAAUACAAAUAUUGAUGAGCAUUAUGUUGGUUGAUCUGCACUGACAGUCCCAAUCUAGAGAACCAUUGAGGACACAGAGGUCAUGUCCUCUGUAUUUUUUUUCAGUAAUGUACAAUGUAUCUAUGAUGAAAAUCAAUAUAUGAUCAACAAUGAUAUAUUCAGUCUGAAUACACCACCCCCAUUUAUCCUCAGGGCAGUGAUGAAUAAAAACAAACUGAGGAGUUUGACUGAAGUGUUUGAAGCAUUCUAAAUGUACAGUAGCCUACAGCAGGCAGUAUUUGACCUCGGUAUUUGAAAAUGUCUGGUUACGGCCCUGGUCCCAAUCUAGAGAACCAUUUUACCUCUUGUUGAAGGAUUAACAACACAUAAGUAGUUAAAAAGUGAAGUAUGUAAAGGCUUAGUAUAUAGUAUAGUUGACAUAGCUUUAAGAAACCCAAUGGGCUGUCAGUACGGUAACCGUCCAAGGAAGGUGGAAUUAUUUUUGUUUUUUGUAUUGUUGUUGUUCAUAUUUGUGUCAAGUGUCUGUUGUGAUUUUGCACAUAGCCAAUUUGCGUAUGGUUACAUAUCAUGUUGCCAGGCUGUCGCCACUUAGUGCCUCCAGUCAGUUUCAAUUCACUCCAGCAAAAAACAGAUAUAUGAGAGGCAUUAAGAUGGAUAAGAGAGCUUUUACAGCCACAGCCCUCAUUGUCCUGUUAGCUGUAAAAUCUAACCCUCCACCUCUGUAAACCUCUGCACACCCAUGUGAGGUCACUUACUGUAUUACUGUGUAGCAGGGCUGGACUGGUAAUUUGACCUACAGGGCAUUAUCCCAGUGGGCCGACAGUCAUCGGGGGCCGAUGCUUUUGUUUGUUUGUGCGCUUCAAAUGUUCCCUUUGAGACCGGCCCACAAUUUAGAUGGGGCAGCCCUUCAGUGCAUCUCUAACACAGUGGACUGAGCCCAUUGUAGUGUGGGGGUGAGGGGGCUGGUCUAUGCCAAAAGAAAUGCCCAGGCCGGUUUGAUGUCCCAGUCCAGCCCUGCUGUGUUUCCUUGAGUCAUAACUUUUCAUGAGGUGCUUUUGCUGUGACCUUUCAUCAGAAGGAGACUGUUAACUACAGUACAUGCCCAAAUUAUGUUACUUUUGCAACCAUGCAUAUUGUGGUGUUGUGCCUUGUGUCAUUACAUUUCAAGUGCCUUUUCUCUUUCCUUUGAGGCCAGCUUUGAAUAGCCCUCUUGACUGGCAGUAGUGCUCCCUGUGCCAUUGGCCGCCCUCUGCUUACUUGUUGCAAUAGGUUAAAUGGAGGCCAGAUUUUUUUCAAUGGGAGAGAUUUUUCAUGCCUUUAGUUUUACUGUUUGCUGUGAAAUGAUUUUACAACGAAGAAUGAGAUCAUGCCAGUAUUCAUUAUAGAAUAGGCUGUCUAAUGUCUUCCAUUUCUGCGCAAAAAAUAUGUACUAUAUGCACUGAUUUGUGGUGAAUUAAAUAAAUUGUACUUCUCUUUGUUCCCUGUGAAUAAUUUUCAUAGUCUUCAUACAUGAAUCUCACCUCACUGCAGAAGAGCACUAGCAUAACAGUUGUCAGCUCAGGGCACAAUGCAUAGAAAAAGAG